rnacentral:lncRNA from 1 species
UCACAUCAAUACCAGGAGAUGUGCUGAUAAAUUAGUAAUAUUGAUGGGGACUAAAGAGCAUGUCUCUUCUGAAUUAUCUGUGAAUGGAAUAAUAUAUCUGGGGUUUGCCUAAGACAAAUCAGGUUUUAUUAGAGUGGGAGUGGAGAAGGGGGUGGCAGAAAUUGUAGGUAUUAGUGGAAAAAUUGGCCACAAUAUUAAUAACUAUUGAAGCUAGGUAAUAAAUAAAGAGGAAUCAAAUAUGUCAUACUUCCUACAUUUCUAUUUGAAAAUUUCCAUUGUUAUAUUUGAAAAUUCCCAUAAUACAAAUAAAUGUGUAUAUACAUACAACACAAACACAAAACAUAACAUACAAAAGCACAUCAUCAGAAGAGUGACUUUAUAAUGACAGCAUCUUAGAGAAGGGCAUCUUUGAUGGAACUUCUGAUUUUACAUCACAUGUCUAUUAUGUUUUAGGGGACAUGAUUUGAGCGAGGCUCAUGGAUAGUUUGGUCUUCUCUGAAAGGCAACUACUACUGUACCUCAGCCCAAACUGGUGGGACUGUAAGAGCUAUAAAGUCUCCUUCAUACAAAGACCCAAAGGCAGACAUUGAAUCAAAAAUAAGGAGAAAGAGAAACAAACUACAAGCUAGAAAAAGAAAAAGAAACAAACUAUAAGCUCUAAACAUCGAAAAUCUAGCCAAUAAGACUCAUCUGCAAAGUCCUGGGAGGCGGCAGCAUGACUGAGGUGGUGGUAUAUAUGUUUAUGUUGGCUGUUUCAUUCCCCUAAAUGCAUUUGACAUCUCUAAUUAAUCCCUUUGGAGCAGUGGUUGCUGGAAUUCUCAGCUCAGAACCUUGGCUCAUGCCCGCCAAAUGGAAUCCUGAGAUGCUGCACGUACAUGUGUUGUUAAAGAGAGAUUUCCAGGCUGAAGUCAUUUGACUUGCCUCCAACAGGUGGAGGGCAGAAAAUGGGAUGUGAUAUUUUGGCUAGGGCUGGGAGAAAGGGAAGCACUAGCUGACUCUUGGUGGGCUUCACGUGGUAUCUCUCCUCAUGCCUCGACCAAGCAUGUGUCUCAGAGUAUGGUGCCAUUCAGCAUCAGCCAUCUAGUCCUGUGUUUCCCAAAGUGUUGAGAGUCUCCCGUUCCUAGAACAGUAUGUGACUUUCACUUAUGCAUGGGCAUGAUAAUUAUGCUAGAUCACACGCUAAGAAAUGUUAUUCCCUUUUCAGUUCUCGGCCAUCCCUCCUCACAGUCUCAAGGAGAUGCCUCGUUCUCAUACUGGAAUGUCUCUAAAACCCCU